AUAAUACUCUCUUAUACUUUUAAAACGGAAUACGUAUUUCUCUGUAUAUUUUAUGGUAUUUAUGUCAUCUGCAGUUACUGAUAACCAUAUCGAAAAUGAAAUAUAGAGUAAAUAUAGAGCAUUGCCGCACUACAUGUGCGUUUUGUAUUAUGUUUGACGGUUUUGGCAGAUAUAAACCUAAUGUAUGUGUAUAAUAGUGUGUUUAAUUCAUAGAUAUAAAUAAUAAUAAUACUAGAAAGCGGAUAAUGAUACUAUGGUUGCACGACGACGUAUAUUGGAUCACAGGCGUUAAGUGGCACCGAAUUUUCUAAUCAAGUUUGACAAAAAAUCCCCUCUUGCUAGAGCCCUCUACAGUCAUUAUUAUAGAACUCGUAUAUCAUUAUACAUAAUAAGUAAUAACCAGUCCACCGGAGUUUAGAUAUUUAAUUCGAAGCCAGUUGUCUUUAUCGUAUACUAUUAUAUUAUAUACUAUUAUUUUAUAUUGUAAUAAGUUAUCAAUGAUUUACUAUUGCUACCGCGGUGACCAAUAUCGUGUUUUAAAUAAUAUUACACAGAUAUAACAGUUAUUACAAUAUAACUUUGAAUGAUGAGGCCUACGGGCCUUGAAUUAUAUGGCGGAUUCAAACAAUACUUCUUAUCAUCAGUGAGCAAUGUAGUAUAAACCUAUGAUUUAAUGAUCGCACGAGGUGGCAAUUUUUUAGAUUUUAAGCGGAGCGAAGAAUGUAUUGGUUUUACAAUGAUUAUGUGGUAUUUCGAGUUUAAUAAAUGACUGUAAUUCUAUAUUAUCGGAAUAUACCCUUAUAAUAGACCCUUUAUAUUUAAUCCCUAUCACCAUAUCCUUAUUAAAUCCAGGUUUAAAGUGGUUAAACAUUAUUUUCCCUACGAGUUCGUCAAU